GUUAGGUUACACAGCUUUCGCUACCCUGGGAACAAAGCGCCGUCGUCUCCAACGUCUCCAACACCUCCGAGGUCUCCGACAUCUCGUCAUCCACAGCAACGUGCAUUACCACUGGCUCCUGUAGAAAACCAAUAUAAAUUGGUUGGAAAGGAAGACUGCAGAGAUGAUCGUGCUGGCGAUUACGAGGUGACGCUGCCCACUCAAAAUAAAGAAGUUGGCAAAGAAGGUGUCAGGGUACAAGAUGAAACUCCAGACUACGAAGUGACGCGGCCCUGUCAUAGU